rnacentral:sRNA from 1 species
CAGUAGAAGAUUAAAAAAAAA